AGCGGAGGAAAAGAAACUAACAAGGAUUCCCCUAGUAACGGCGAGUGAAGCGGGAAGAGCUCAAAUUUGUAAUCUGGCGUCCUCUGGGCGUCCGAGUUGUAAUCUAGAGAAGUGUUUUCCGUGCCGGCCCAUGUACAAGUCCCUUGGAACAGGGCGUCAUAGAGGGUGAGAAUCCCGUACUUGACAUGGACCACCGGUGCUCUGUGAUACACUUUCGACGAGUCGAGUUGUUUGGGAAUGCAGCUCAAAAUGGGUGGUAAAUUCCAUCUAAAGCUAAAUAUUGGCGAGAGACCGAUAGCGAACAAGUACCGUGAGGGAAAGAUGAAAAGCACUUUGGAAAGAGAGUUAAACAGUAUGUGAAAUUGUUAAAAGGGAAACGAUUGAAGUCAGUCAUGCUCUUCGGAUUCAACCGGUUCUUCCGGCUUAUUUCCGUUGGGUGGGGUCAACAUCAGUUUCGAUCGGUGGAAAAGGUUUGGAGGAAUGUAGCACUCUCGGGUGAACUUAUAGCCUCUUUUCGUAUACACUGGUUGGGACUGAGGAACGCAGCACGCCCUUGUGGCAGGUCUUCGGACACUUUCGUGCUUAGGAUGUUGACAUAAUGGCUUUAAACAACCCG
rnacentral:rRNA from 1 species